GCUUGCCCCAGGUCUGGCUGUUGCACCCAGGUUGCCUGCGUGCCCCGUGACUGGCUCCAGUUCCCAGGUCGCGAAAACUAAUUGGGGGAA